CCUACGGGUGGCAGCAGUGAGGAAUAUUGGUCAAUGGCCGGAAGGCUGAACCAGCCAUGCCGCGUGAAGGUCAGUGCCCUAUGGGCGUUAAACUUCUUUUGUGCGGGAGCAAUAAUGGUCACGUGUGGCCAGACGAGAGUACCGUACGAAUAAGCAUCGGCUAACUCCGUUCCAGCAGCCGCGGUAAUACGGGGGAUUCAAGCGUUAUCCGGAUUUAUUGGGGUUAAAGGGUGCCUAGGCUGGGAGGUAAGUCAGCGGUGAAAUGCCCCCGCCCAACGGGGUGAAGUGCCAUUGAUACUGCAUGGCUGGAAGGCGGAUGCCGUGGGAGGAAUGUGUGGUGUAGCGGUGAAAUGCAUAGAUAUCACACAGAACACCGAUUGCGAAGGCAUCUCACGAAUCCGCGAUUGACGCUGAUGCACGAAAGCGUGGGUAUCAAACAGGAUUAGAUACCCUAGUAGUC
rnacentral:rRNA from 1 species